rnacentral:rRNA from 1 species
CGACGAUCGGUAGCUGGUCUGAGAGGAUGAUCAGCCACACUGGGACUGAGACACGGCCCAGACUCCUACGGGAGGCAGCAGUGGGGAAUUUUGGACAAUGGGGGAAACCCUGAUCCAGCCAUGCCGCGUGAGUGAAGAAGGCCUUCGGGUUGUAAAGCUCUUUCGGACGGAACGAAAUUGCUUGGACUAAUACUCUGAGUAGAUGACGGUACCGUAAGAAGAAGCACCGGCUAACUACGUGCCAGCAGCCGCGGUAAUACGUAGGGUGCGAGCGUUAAUCGGAAUUACUGGGCGUAAAGCGUGCGCAGGCGGUUGCCUAAGCCAGGCGUGAAAUCCCCGGGCUUAACCUGGGAAUGGCGCUUGGGACUGGGCAGCUAGAGUGCGGCAGAGGGAGGUGGAAUUCCACGUGUAGCAGUGAAAUGCGUAGAUAUGUGGAGGAACACCAAUGGCGAAGGCAGCCUCCUGGGCCGGCACUGACGCUCAUGCACGAAAGCGUGGGGAGC